rnacentral:lncRNA from 1 species
GGGAAGUCCUCGGCGCUGAGGGCGGUCCGCGUCGGCCACCGCCCCCCGCGCGGGGCGGAGCUGUGGCGGCGUUUUGGGCCCCCCCGAAUUGGGGCGAAACGGGGCGAAUUUUGCGACUGCUGCAACGGCGCCUCCAUCUGAAGGCCUUUAUUGACCGGUGGGCGGCGGCGGCGGCCGCGGCAGCCUCAGUAAUACGGUCUCCGUGACUACGGAGGGCUUCAGCGCCGGGCCUCGGGGCAGCCCGAGGCCUCACCGCGGACUUCGGGUUGAGCCCAACGGGUUCCUCCCCGGCACCCGCCGGGGGCUUCCGGUCGCGAGGAAGGUGAUGGUGGCGGCAUCGGCGUCGAGGCGGAGGUGGGCGAAACCCCCGGGGGACUCCGGAGCCCCAUAGAAGAAGCGGGCGGCGCCGGGGGGUACGGCUGCUCUGUGGGUCUGCGAGGCCUCCAUGAAGUUCCCGGCUCCGCUCACCACGUAGCCCACCCCGUCCUCGUGCAGGAACUGCGGAUGGGAACCGUCAGAGGAACCACGACUGGGGGAGGUGGGGGGGGGGCGUCACCACCGGGACCCCCCCCACCCCCACGCAUCCCCCACGUGCCCGCUCCAAACCCCACCCACCGCCACCACCUCCCAUUGGCCGCUCCGCCACCGCACCAUCACGCUCGGCCAAUCAGCUCGCGCCAUCCCGCCGCAGCGCCCGAAGCCUGCCAAGUGCCGCCAGCUGCCAGCCAAUCGGGCGCCGCCCCUCCCGCAGCCCCCCUUCCCAUUGGCUCGGGGCCGGCGCUAUCACCUCCUCUGCUGCCAGCCAAUCAGCCGUCAGCGCCGCGGGGCAGGCAGCCAAUCGGGCGUCGUGCCACGGGCGUCCGGGGGCCAAUAGGGGCCCCACCAAGGGGGGGGGGUGGGGGGGUGGGCCGCAGUGUGAGGGCGGGGCGUUGCUAUGGUGACGCCAGGCCACG